AGGAAAUCGGGUCAAGCAUAUGAAUGACCCAACUUACUUCCUUAGGGAUUAUCAGCUCACAUAGAGAACCCUUGUACAGCCCUAAUAAACUCUUAAAUGUCCUGGAUAUGCACUGUCAUAUAGUCUAGCAGGCAGUGAUCAUCGAUGUAGCAGCAAAGAGGGCAGCUCUUUUGCCACAGCUAUUGCCAUAGUUCAGAUGAGCAAACACGAUCUUGCUCCAUAAUGACAAAGAGUUCCUUCAAAAUAUGGCAUGUCUGCAGCUCUUUGCAUCAGAAAACAAUGGAAAAAGCAUUGUUUCAAUUUAAAAUAGAGGUUAUCCCACUGUAUUGCUAGCAAGAUGAUCUAAGGCUCUGUCUGCCCAGAGAGUUGGGGGUUGAAUUGCUGACUGGGCUGGCCAAACCUCUACUUCAACACCUUCUGGCUUGGCCAUACCAAGGCUGAAAGCUUUUGUGAAAGUUGGGCUCUGAGAUGGGCUGGCUGGCUAACCUCCCCUCCCACUGCUCUGACUGCAAUUUGCGUUUCAAGUCUACAGCCCCCAAAUUUGCAGCCUUCACUUCCUCAUCCUGACCUCCUGCUUGCACUCUCAGACCUUCUGACUGUUUUUACAGCUCUGUCUGGAGAGAGCUUCUGAAGGAGUCUCACAUGGACACCUUGGGUCUACAGUCCCAGGUUAUGAUGAUACUGGAUUGGUUUUACAAGAGGAUAUUAUUACCCAGUACUGAGAAACUUAGUUUCAUGCUGAAAAAGCAGUUCAACCCUCACCAAGAAGUCACUAACCAAUGUUAGCCGUAACAGUAACUAGUAAUUGUAUUUGUGAAUGAAUCAAAAAGAUUUGAGUCAUUCUUGUGGAAAGCUGAAGUCACAUUCAUGGCUGGGAUAAAUGCAUGCAGUUCCUCUGAGCAGAUGCUUUUUCUAACAUUCCAAACAUCUAAGAACCUCGACAGAGAAAUGUUUCUUUCUCUGUCAGAAAAAGACUCAUGUUCAAGGCCCCAGAACCAACACAAAGUGAUCUUUGCACCAAGGACUAUCUUUCGUAGUUCUAACAAAAUUAUACUGUUGAAGCGUGUUAUCUCGCAUCCUUGUAGAAAUGGAAAUUGGAGACGUAAUUUACCAUCGGAAAGAAGACUUCCUUCUUUUGGAAGCUGGACGGCUGGACCAGGAAACUCUGAAGACUUGAAACACUGAAACAAAAUCCCUCAGCAAAGAAAGGGCAGGCGGGUUAAUUCCAGGUUGUGCGGACCCUGAACGCCAAAUAGCAUGUGAAUAUAACUAAGCUGCGCAACUUUACAGGUUCAGUAUAAAUUCAAAGUCUGUUCCUUUCAAGCAAACUCCAGAAAACAUCRUGAAAUAGUCGUUCACGGGUCCCUGCGUGCACAGUGCGUACAGACCCCGGUGGGAGCUG
rnacentral:lncRNA from 1 species